UCAGAAGCCAGCUCUGAGUGUUUCGGCGUGCUUUGCGGUUGAUUUUGCACGUGGGCUCUCUCCACCCGACUACAGGCCACUAGAUAAUAUAAAAAAAAAAGGCAAAGAAGCGUGAGUCAUGCGUGUGCUGUGCAUCCUCCUGCCUCUCUCUAGCGACAAGGUUUCUUUACUCCUCCUUUGGCUACGAAGCUGCACAUUGAUCCUCAAAAAAUAAGGAUUAUAAACCCCCGGCUCACGCAGGGAGCAUCCCAGCUCGGUGCUGUGCCUCUCCCAGCCAAGUCCGCGGUGGAUCUUUGCUUUCGUGCCACUCGCAGCGUCAUUAAGUUGAAAGACUCCAUCGUACAAGUUGCUAAACAAAAUCCAAUUAAGCGGCUGGGUUAGAAAUGUAAUUGUUACAAAAAGUGGCGUGUCAGAU